CAGCCUCUUUCUGGCAGAUGGAAUAUCUUGGGACUGCUGGGGUCUGGACUGUGAGACCAGAGCUGCCUGGGUCCCACGCCCAGCCCCAGUGGUCAGAAGGAAGGUGAGGGGAUGGACAAUCCCACCAGAACCACCAGGAGAAGGGCAGUUCCUUAAAGGAAGAAACACUGAGCAGAUAAAAACAGCUGUCCACUCCUGUUAUCUUGGGAAGAGCUGGCAGGAGCUGCAGGAGACUGGAAGGAGAGCACUGAGAAGAGACGAGCGGCAGAGGCCUACGCAUCACAAAGAACCUAGUAGCCAUCGAAGAAAUGAACAAAACGACAUAAAUAUGAAGAGGUCUGCAUGCCUCAGGCCGCUAUCAGUAAAGCCGGUGACAAUCUGGGGAAACAUGAUAGUACCUCGUGCGACGGACAGAAAGCUUAUUUCCCUAAUAUGGAAAUCAAUGGAAAAGAUCAGCACCAAACAAGAAAACGGGCGAAGGGUAUGAAAACACAGUUCACAGAAAAGGGAAACACAGAUGGCUUUUAACUCUCUGAAAAAAAUGUUCACUCGUACUAAAAGAAAUGCA